rnacentral:tRNA from 1 species
GGAGAGAUGGCCGAGUGGUCUAAGGCACUUGACUCGAAAUCAAGCGUGGGGGUAACCCCACCGUGGGUUCGAAUCCCACUCUCUCCGCCA